AAAUAUAAAUAAUAUCAUGAAUUUUAAAGGGUUACAAUGCAAAUAUAGAAUUCUAGAGAGACCAGCUGACCUCCUUUAAUCUUUUUUGGGUCUGCCUAUGCGGCGGACCCAUAAAUAUUUUUUACAGUAUGAAAGUCUAACUUCAAAAUAAUUAGUAACUGAAAAAAUUAAAAAACUCAAAAAAAC
rnacentral:sRNA from 1 species